rnacentral:rRNA from 1 species
CCUACGGGUGGCAGCAGUAGGGAAUCUUGCACAAUGGACGAAAGUCUGAUGGAGCAACGCCGCGUGAGUGAAGAAGGGUUUCGGCUCGUAAAGCUCUGUCGGCAGUGAAGAACGUUAAAGGUGGUAACUAGCCGUUAUUUGACGGUAACUACUUAGCAAGUACCGGCUAACUACGUGCCAGCAGCCGCGGUAAUACGUAGGUGGCAAGCGUUGUCCGGAUUUAUUGGGCGUAACGCGAUUGCAGGCGGUUAAAUAAGUCUGAUGUGAAAGCCUUCGGCUCAACCGGGGAAUUGCAUAUGAAACUGGUGAACUAGAGUGCAGAAGAGGAGAGUGGAACUCCAGGUGUAGGGGUGGAAUGCGUAGAUAUAUGGAGGAACACCAGUGGCGAAGGCGGCUUUCUGGCCUGUAACUGACGCUGAGGCUCGAAAGCAUGGGUAGCGAACAGGAUUAGAUACCCGUGUAGUC